rnacentral:rRNA from 1 species
CCUACGGGUGGCAGCAGUGGGGAAUAUUGGGCAAUGGGCGCAAGCCUGACCCAGCAACGCCGCGUGAAGGAAGAAGGCUUUCGGGUUGUAAACUUCUUUUCUCAGGGACGAAGAAAGUGACGGUACCUGAGGAAUAAGCCACGGCUAACUAGGUGCCAGCAGCCGCGGUAAUACGGAGGUGGCAAGUGUUAUCCGGAUUUAUGGGGUGUAAAGGGUGUGUAGGGGGGAGGGCAAGUCAGAGGGGAAAACUAGGGGACCAACCCUGGACCUGCAUUUGAGACUGUGUUUCGUGAGUGCUGGAGAGGCAAGCGGAAUGCGUGGUGUAGCGGUGAAAGGCUUAGAG